AUUGAACGCUGGCGGCAGGCCUAACACAUGCAAGUCGAGCGAGCGGCGGACGGGUGAGUAAUGUAUGGGGACUGCCCGAUAGAGGGGGAUCACUACUGGAAACGGUGGCUAAUACCGCAUACUAUCGGAUAACCCAUAUGGGAUUAGCUAGUAGGUGGGGUAAAGGCUCACCUAGGCGACGAUCUCUAGCGGGUCUGAGAGGAUGCUCAGCCACACUGGAACGGAGACACGGCCCAGACUCCAACGGAGGCAGCAGUGGGGAAUAUUGCACAAUGGGCGAAAGCCUGAUGCAGCAAUGCCGCGUGGAUGAAGAAGGCCUUAGGGUGGUAAAGUACGUUAAUCGGGGAGGCGUUACCCGCAGAAGAAGCAACGGCUAACUCCGUGCCAGCAGCCGCGGUAAUAC
rnacentral:rRNA from 1 species